AGGGUCCCUUGGAACAGCGACUUGUGAUUGGACUGUCCAACUGAUAUACAUCCCAUACACAAUGUGAGAAGUCAGGAGCCUUAAAUUAUGAUAUGAAGAUUUUAUGAACUAUUCCGAAGACUGUUAACGUCUUCAGAUUUCCCAAAGGUUCAUACAAACUACAAAUCACCUUAUGUACAAAACAUUAAUGAAGAGAACGUACAAGAAGUAUCAAUUGAACCGUUGGAAUAUUCUUUAGAAAAAUCGGCAUAUGUGGGUCAAUAUGCAAAAAUAAAUUAUAGAAAAACAUUUUACCAUAAAGAUUGUAGUGAAACAGGAACAUUUCUGAAACGAUUUAAAAACUAUACGUCUGAUACUGCUACCGAUAUUUCUCAAUCAUCAAAAGUAUGCACACAAAUCAGUACUUAUUCUGGACAAUAUUGACCAAGAUAAAAUAGUAAAGAUAAACAGACUUACUUCCUGAAAUAACUGUUGAAAGAAAUGUAACAAAAAAUGCAACGAAUUUUGAAAAAAAGGAUGAAUCUCAUAACGAAUUAUGUGGAGGUUGUCGCAAUGACUUACACAAAAUUAUGCGAAUGUUGGCUACAAUCCCACAAUUACUAUUAAACAUACAUCCAAAUUUUGCACAAGACUAUAAUAUUAAUCUAAAUUUGCCGAUUGCGACAGUCGAAGAAUUGCAGGAUUUCAAUAAAUUGAUUACAGAUAACUCUGCAGCAAAAUUGCAAUAUGUGAAAUUAAUUCGGAACAUGGGAGGAAAAAAUCCAGAACAGCAUGUACAAUUUUGGAAAUGUAUGAAUCAAAAAUUACUUUAUUUUCCACUCAAAAAAUUAUGAAAAUAUGAUUAUAGCAUGCUGGAGAUAGAAUUAAUACCGCUGAAAAAAAACACAAACAAAACUAACACAGUCGUGAUGUCGAAGAAGAAAAGUAUUUCCCAGUAAUAUUAUUUUUAUAGAAGUUAUAGCUUAUAUUGAAUGUUGUCUAUUUUUUGUAGUCGAGAAAUUUUCUCGAAACAUGUUAUGACAAUUUAGAUAUUUUAACUUUUCAGACACAAGUGGAGUUGCAAUAUAUGUACAAUAGUUUUUACAAAGUGAAAAUAAUAAAAACUAUUAAAUAAACAUUCGAAUUAUAUCAAAUCUCUUAAUAUACCUUUGACUUUGAGAGACUGACAGCUGUACCAUUUGGUACAGUAACAUUGUUUCUCUCUGUAGUCGCCGUGC